AAUCCGUGAUGUGGACAGUCCCUCUGAUAUCCCUUGAACCUCUCCCACGCAGCCUUGAAUGCUUCUGUCAGACCCUGAACAAACGUGGAGAUCUUAGUGCGAAGAUC
rfam:Arabis alpina cultivar Pajares scaff_43280_1_contig_0, whole genome shotgun sequence.